AAGUCGUAACAAGGUUUCCGUAGGUGAACCUGCGGAAGGAUCAUUACAAAUCCAUCCACGUCUCAUUCCUUGAGACCACGUUGAAAUGUUCCCUAGAGUGUAUGUAUUGUUGUGGGGUCCCCUCGACCUUCAGCCGUUUCACCGGCCGUCCGUCCUGUGGUGGCACACACAUACACAAUACAAUACACACUAGGCUUGUAAACUAGUAUCAUCUGUUGCUCAAUUGUAUCUUGCUUGAUUGUAAUGAUCAAGAUAAACAAAGUACAACUUAUAACAAUGGAUCUCUAGGCUCUU
rnacentral:misc_RNA from 1 species